rnacentral:rRNA from 1 species
AACGAACGCUGGCGGCAGGCCUAACACAUGCAAGUCGAGCGAAGCCUUCGGGCUUAGCGGCGGACGGGUGAGUAACGCGUGGGAACGUGCCCUUUGGUACGGAAUAGCCCCGGGAAACUGGGAGUAGUACCGUAUGUGCCCUUCGGGGGAAAGAUUUAUCGCCAAAGGAUCGGCCCGCGUUGGAUUAGGUAGUUGGUGGGGUAAUGGCCUACCAAGCCGACGAUCCAUAGCUGGUUUGAGAGGAUGAUCAGCCACACUGGGACUGAGACACGGCCCAGACUCCUACGGGAGGCAGCAGUGGGGAAUCUUAGACAAUGGGGGAAACCCUGAUCUAGCCAUGCCGCGUGAUCGAUGAAGGCCAUAGGGUUGUAAAGAUCUUUCAGUGGGGAAGAUAAUGACUGUACCCACAGAAGAAGCCCCGGCUAACUCCGUGCCAGCAGCCGCGGUAAUAC